rnacentral:rRNA from 1 species
AGAGUUUGAUCCUGGCUCAGGAUGAACGCUGGCGGCGUGCUUAACACAUGCAAGUCGAGCGAAGCAGUUAAAGUUGAUUUCUUCAGAUUGAUUCUUAACUGACUGAGCGGCGGACGGGUGAGUAACGCGUGGGUGACCUGCCCCAUACCGGGGGAUAACAGCUGGAAACGGCUGCUAAUACCGCAUAAGCGCACAGAGCUGCAUGGCUCAGUGUGAAAAACUCCGGUGGUAUGGGAUGGGCCCGCGUCUGAUUAGCUAGUUGGCAGGGCAACGGCCUACCAAGGCGACGAUCAGUAGCCGACCUGAGAGGGUGACCGGCCACAUUGGGACUGAGACACGGCCCAAACUCCUACGGGAGGCAGCAGUAGGGAAUUUUCGUCAAUGGGGGGAACCCUGAACGAGCAAUGCCGCGUGUGUGAAGAAGGUCUUCGGAUCGUAAAGCACUGUUGUAAGUGAAGAAUGCCACAUAGAGGAAAUGCUAUGUGGGUGACGGUAGCUUACCAGAAAGCCACGGCUAACUACGUGCCAGCAGCCGCGGUAAUACGUAGGUGGCAAGCGUUAUCCGGAAUCAUUGGGCGUAAAGGGUGCGUAGGUGGCACGAUAAGUCUGAAGUAAAAGGCAACAGCUCAACUGUUGUAUGCUUUGGAAACUGUCGAGCUAGAGUGCAGAAGAGGGCGAUGGAAUUCCAUGUGUAGCGGUAAAAUGCGUAGAUAUAUGGAGGAACACCAGUGGCGAAGGCGGUCGCCUGGUCUGUAACUGACACUGAUGCACGAAAGCGUGGGGAGCAAAUAGGAUUAGAUACCCUAGUAGUCCACGCCGUAAACGAUAAGGACUAGGUGUUGGGGGAAUAACUCAGUGCCGCAGUUAACGCAAUAAGUUUCUCCGCCUGGGGAGUAUGCACGGCAAGUGUGAAACUCAAAGGAAUUGACGGGGACCCGCACAAGCGGUGGAGCAUGUGGUUUAAUUUGAAGCAACGCGAAGAACCUUACCAGGUCUUGACAUCCCCCUGACCGGUCCGUAACGGGACCUUUCCUUCGGGACAGGGGAGACAGGUGGUGCAUGGUUGUCGUCAGCUCGUGUCGUGAGAUGUUGGGUUAAGUCCCGCAACGAGCGCAACCCUUACUGUCAGUUACUACGCAAGAGGACUCUGGCAGGACUGCCGUUGACAAAACGGAGGAAGGUGGGGAUGACGUCAAAUCAUCAUGCCCUUUAUGACUUGGGCUACACACGUACUACAAUGGCGUUAAACAAAGAGAAGCAAGACCGCGAGGUGGAGCAAAACUCAGAAACAACGUCCCAGUUCGGAAUGCAGGCUGCAACUCGCCUGCACGAAGUCGGAAUUGCUAGUAAUCGUGGAUCAGCAUGCCACGGUGAA